rnacentral:rRNA from 1 species
GAUGAACGCUGGCGGCGUGCCUAAUACAUGCAAGUCGAGCGAACGGACGAGAAGCUUGCUUUUCUGAUGUUAGCGGCGGACGGGUGAGUAACACGUGGAUAACCUACCUAUAAGACUGGGAUAACUUCGGGAAACCGGAGCUAAUACCGGAUAAUAUUUUGAACCGCAUGGUUCAAAAGUGAAAGACGGUCUUGCUGUCACUUAUAGAUGGAUCCGCGCUGCAUUAGCUAGUUGGUAAGGUAACGGCUUACCAAGGCAACGAUGCAUAGCCGACCUGAGAGGAUGAUCGGCCACGCUGGAACUGAGACACGGUCCAGACUCCUACGGGAGGCAGCAGUAGGGAAUCUUCCGCAAUGGGCGGAAGCCUGACGAAGCAACGCCGCGUGAGUGAUGAAGGUCUUCGGAUCGUAAAACUCUGUUAUUAGGGGAGAACAUAUGUGUAAGUAACUGUGCGCAUCUUGACGGUACCUAAUCAGAAAGCCACGGCUAACUACGUG